rnacentral:rRNA from 1 species
AUUGAACGCUGGCGGCAGGCCUAACACAUGCAAGUCGAACGAGUGGCGGACGGGUGAGUAAUGUCUGGGAAACUGCCCGAUGGAGGGGGAUAACUACUGGAAACGGUAGCUAAUACCGCAUACCAUCGGAUGUGCCCAGAUGGGAUUAGCUAGUAGGUGGGGUAAGGGCUCACCUAGGCGACGAUCCCUAGCUGGUCUGAGAGGAUGACCAGCCACACGGGAACUGAGACACGGUCCAGACUCAUACGGGAGGCAGCAGUGGGGAAUAUUGCACAAGGGGCGAAAGCCUGAUGCAGCCAUGCCGCGUGUAUGAAGAAGGCCUUCGGGUUGUAAAGUACUUUCAGCGGGGAGGCGUUACUCGCAGAAGAAGCACCGGCUAACUCCGUGCCAGCAGCCGCGGUAAUUC